AGUGAACGCUGGCGGUAGGCCUAACACAUGCAAGUCGAACGGCAGCACAGUAAGAGCUUGCUCUUACGGGUGGCGAGUGGCGGACGGGUGAGGAAUACAUCGGAAUCUACUUUUUCGUGGGGGAUAACGUAGGGAAACUUACGCUAAUACCGCAUACGACCUACGGGUGAAAGCAGGGGAUCUUCGGACCUUACGCGAUUGAAUGAGCCGAUGUCGGAUUAGCUAGUUGGCGGGGUAAAGGCCCACCAAGGCGACGAUCCGUAGCUGGUCUGAGAGGAUGAUCAGCCACACUGGAACGGAGACACGGUCCAGACUCCUACGGGAGGCAGCAGUGGGGAAUAUUGGACAAUGGGCGCAAGCCUGAUCCAGCCAUACCGCGUGGGUGAAGAAGGCCUUCGGGUUGUAAAGCCCUUUUGUUGGGAAAGAAAAGCAGCAGGUUAAUACCCCGCUGUUCUGACGGUACCCAAAGAAUAAGCACCGGCUAACUUCGUG
rnacentral:rRNA from 1 species